AUAAGACUUUUUUUCUUGUUUUUAUUUAGAUAUUUUAUGACCUGGUCAGACAGAUAAAUAGAAAAACACCAGUGGAAAAGAAGAAGCCUAAAAAGAAAUCAUGCCUUCUGCUUUAGACCCACAGUGAGCAGCAGCUCUGAGCCAGAUUACAGGAAUGAAGAACUGUUGCCUAAUUGGGAAGUGCCAGCAUUCCAGACUUCAAAAAUUAAAUCUGAAGAGGCUUCUCCUGUUUUAUAUAUUAUGUGAAGAAUUUAAAUCUUAUAUUGGUUUGCACAGAUUCCCUGGAGAAAAAAAAAAUUGCUCUGUGUAUAUCUCUUGGAAAAUAAGACAAUAGUAUUUCUCCUUUGCAAUAGCAGUUAUAACAGAUGUGAAAAUAAAUAUACUUGACUCUAAUAUGAUUAUACAAAAGAGCAUGGAUGCAUUUCAAAUGUUAGAUAUUGCUACUAUAAUCAGAUGAUUUCAUAUUGACCUUUUUAUCAUGAUUCCUCCCUGUCAAGAACUAAAAGUUGAACCAUUAUACUUUAUAUCUGUAAUGAUAUAGAUUAUGAAAUUUCCCCUCAAACUCAUUGCAGCAGAUAACUUUUUGAGUCAUUGACUUCAUUUUAUAUUUAAAAAUUAUGAAAUAUCAUUCUGUCAUUAUAUUCUAAUUAAAAUUGUGCAUAAUGCUUUGGAAAAAUGGGUCUUUUAUAGGAAAAAAACUGGGAUAACUGAUUUCUAUGGCUUUCAAAGCUAAAAUAUAUAAUAUACUAAACCAACUCUAAUAUUGCUUCUUGUGUUUUACUGUCAGAUUAAAUUACAACUUUUUUGGAUGAUUAAAUUUUAGUACAUUUUCGUUUGGUUUGUGUGUUUUUGUUAUUGUUUAUAGAUUUAAGACUUUUAUUUUAUAAUGGCCACAUUGUUUUAAAAUGCAACAGUAGCUCCUUUCUGCCUGUACCUACAGAACACUUGGCUUUAAACCCCUAAGUCAUUGGUAAUUUCUCUAAGAACAGACCUCACACUUUCUGUUCUAGAUGUAUUUAUUCCUACUAUACAGCAGACUACAUCGGACUACAUAGAUUAGUUUUGUAUAUUCUCUCUUGAUCUUAAAGAUUGUAUCUUAUUGAAUAAAAUAUCCCACUGUGUAUUAUUUUUAUAUGUAAAAAUAAGUUUAAUACUGUAUCAGGGGUUAACUUUACUAUUUCAAAUCUUCCACAGCUUGUAAUUUCAUCAAGGGAAUCCUUUUGUCAUUGUUAAUAUGUUGGGUAUAAGCCCACCAAUGAAAUGUUAUGUAAAAAUGUUCAAAUUUGCUUUAUAAUAGAUUGAAGAAUUUGAGAGAAGUGGGGAAAAGUGAAAACGCAUACGGAGAAUGUGUCCGUUGCUUUUGCUUCGACUGUAUAUGAAGUAGUGUAGUAGUCAUAGUAUGGAAAAGAUCGCUAAGUUAAAAUUUUAGCUGGCUAUAUAGUGGUGCUUUUCUUUUCCUUCCCAGUUGUUUCUGUUUUUACAAAGGUGACACUUAAUGAGGACAUGGAUCUAGGGUAUCGAUACGGCUUACGUGUUCUCCAUAGAGGUAGAGCAAAACAGCUUGUCGGCCAGUUAAGUGCUGGCGAAGGCAAGAAACAAGCUGAGAAAACCCUGUGCCUUGUCCCCGAAUACUGAGGAGGAGACUAGUCCUAGAAAGUCUACAUAGCUGCUCAGGGAUCUAGAUACUGUCUCGUUGCAACUAGGUAUGAAGUAGUGUUCAUGCCUUGCUGAGACUUCCCAGGAAUGUGGUCAGGCCAUCGGUUACUAAAUUGAGAUUUAGGAAUAAGAUUUCAAAUGUAAGCUCUGACCAACCUAAGAAAAUGUUAAAAUAUUGUAAAAAAAAAAAAUGGAAAUUGUAUUCUUUUGAGUUUCUAAUAAAUUUAGUUAACUAAUACUUUCCUUCUACUGAUCCAGUUACACAGAUGUCUGGGAUUGAGGGGCCAAAAGUCUAAUAAAUGCAAUAAAUUAAAAAUAAAUAAGUGAAGCAUUAGGGCCAGUCUGUCCAGGUCAAGGUGGCAUAUUUUAAGGUCCUCUACAGCCAUUCUGCUUGAAAACUCACCUCUCAGACAUGCCUUUGGACUUAAAAUUAUAGACAAAACAUCUCACACGUAAGUAAAAAUUGCUAAAUAUUACCUGUUACAUAGGUUGUGUGGUUAUUUGCCAGAUAGAUAAGAAAUCAUUAAGUAAGAGUAACUCCUAAGAGUAACUCCCCUGUGCUGGACUAAUAGCAUCAGUUUGCCCUCCGUUUCAGAACAUGGGCGAGAAAGAUGACAGUGCUGGAUUCCUUGGUCACAUCUUACACAGUCCACUUGGGAUCCAAUAGGACUGUGAAGAGACGUGCCCCGGAGCACACAGCAGCAUGCAGAGCAGGACCCACUGAAGUCAGGGAGAUGCAUUACUCUCCACAAGGAAAUCUGCCAUGCUGAGUAAGGCGGAAGGGUAGCCUGUCAGAAAGGAAGAUAGGUGUGCUUUCAUCUUGUCCCUGUGGACUCUGUAGUCUUGGUUUCAGAGGGGAGGGUGCCCCAAAAUAAGAUGUAUUUGAUGUACUUUUUAUAGCUGAAAAGUAAAAAAGCCCUCAAAUAUAUAUGAAUUUCAUAUGAUAAACAUCCAAGAACUGACACCACGUUCGUAUUUGUGACUCUUUAAAGUAGAACGCCUUUGGCCAGAUGAGUAACAUAUCAUUUAAAGGAGGCUUGAUAUCAUAGUUGAUAAUGUUUUUCCCAUUAAAACACAAAUGACUUUAAUAGCUUACUAGUGCCCCCAAACAAUCUAGUUUUAAAAAUUAACAGUAAAUACAUAAUCUAUCAUUUUACCCUCCACCAGGGGGAGCUUCAGUAUCAGUUAAAUACUUCUGCAAGCCUUGAAUGAACAGUAUGAAUUCAAUCCAUCUAUUCUUAUAAAUAAACACUGCUUGCUUCAUGAAGAGGCAUAAAGGCCUUUCCUCAAGAAUUUCCAAUCUACCAGGCAGGAAAGAUAUGUAAGAAAUUCAUCAAAGAUAUGAAAACGCUGUAAUUUAUUAAACUGGUCACAGAGUUCUCUCAGGAAUGUUUGGAGAAAUAUGGGUGUUGGUAUGUUAUUCUCUUUCCCCUACAGCUUUGAAGUAAUCUCUCUUUGGUAUCUUGAUCUGCCAUCAUAACUGACCGCUUUUUACCCCUCAGUGAAACAGCUUGUUUCUUUGAAGUUAGAAUGUACUUGGGAAAAAUUAAUCUUUGGGAAGGUACUGAUCUCUAAUUACCAGCAUUAUUAAGACAGGCUACUUGGUCUGGAGCUAUUUUUCUCUAUAUAGGAACGUUCUCCGUUAUCUGGACCUGCCCAAGUUCAAAUAUUUUGCCUCAUUUUCCUCAUUAGGUACACAUAUAUUUGUCAGUUCAUAUAUCUGAUUUUUGUUUUUAGGACUGAGGGACAGGAAGAAAGAUUACCUCAGUUUUUUCCUUGUUAUGCAAUCACAGUAGAACGCUAGAAGACCUAAAAUAUGCUCUUAAAAAUUAUAUGUGUGUGGUGAAACCAGCGUGUGAAGAAAUUGGUAUUUGGAGGAAGAAAAUAGCUUGUAAUAAUAACCUUUUGUUUUAUUUGGGUCUUGUACUUAUUUAAAAAGGUGCUACUUAAAUGUGUAUUGAAAUAGCCCCUCUUGACUCAGCUCCAAACUUAAAAGGGUAGAGUGGUUUGGGUGCUUGUCCAGGAUCUGGAAGAAGCCCAUCUUGUGCAGGGAAGGAAAUGAAUGUGAGCUUUGAGGUAGUCCAGCCACCAAGCUUUUAGUAUUUCUAUUCCCCAAAAAUGUAAAAAAUGCAAGUUAUUCUUGAAAAUGUAGUACAGACAUUACAUUGAAUAUGAAAUUUUUUUUUACUGCAGUUUCAUCUUGGGUUUGCUGAAUGCACGGUCCAUUUAUUUAAUGUCAUGUCUUACUAAAAUUUGCUUGUUGAGAACAGCUGGAGACUUUGAACUGGAUGCCUAGUUCUGUUUUCUGGGAAGGCGACAUCGAUUGUUUUGCAGACAUUAAGAAGAGCUUUAAAAGGGAAUUGGGGGAUAUAGCUCUGGCUUUUUAAGAAGAAGCCUCCUGUGAUUCUGGGCUCAAGGUGUGACAUACAUUUCCUGCUAAUUGCUUCUCUUAAGAAGCAUGGGCUUGGCUGUUCCUCUUGAGGAAAAACCUUAAUAAACCUUCCCGUUUUAAGCCGU